rnacentral:RNase_P_RNA from 4 species
AGAGUAAGGGUAGGCGGUUGCGGACAGGUUUCCUGUCUGAGGAAAGUCCGGGCUCCCGAAAGACCAAACUUGCUGGGUAACGCCCAGUGCGGGCGACCGUGAGGAUAGUGCCACAGAAAGAUACCGCCAAUUAGCAAUUAGCUUUUAGCCUUGGGCUGAUAACUGAUUACUAAUUGGUAAGGGUGCAACGGUGCGGUAAGAGCGCACCAGCAGCGUCGAGAGGCGCUGGCUAGGUAAACCCCGGUUGGGAGCAAGGUGGAUGGAACUAUGGUUGGUCUUUUACCAGUUCCGAUAUGAGGAACCGCAAGAGGCGUUUGGUGACAAGCGUCCCAGAUAGAUAACCGCCCUCGAAAGUGCUUGGCACUUUUGGAGAACAGAACCCGGCUUAUGACUUACUCUUUCC